rnacentral:tRNA from 1 species
UUAAUUGAAACCAAAUAGAGGUAUAUCACUGUUAAUGGUAAAACUGAACUAAAUCGUUCCAAUUAAG